GAAAGACCGAAAGCCGAGUGAAAAUACGGAACAAAGUCCGGUUCUUGCGGCUGCUGCGUGGAGUGGCUUCGUUGAAAUGCGGGAGAAGUUGGUUCCGGAGCAAAGUCCGGACGUGAAAGUGUUUGUGGAGCCGUUUGUUGGAGGAACGAGCGGCGACGAGGGAAGGCUAACUAGCCGUUAGCAUUAGCGGUGGUCACAGAAUGCUGGAGGAUGCAGUGCCACCAUGAGGAUGUGUGGAGGAGGAGGAGCAGGCUGAUCCAGGGAUGGUUCCACACAGAGUCCAAGUUCAUGCUGUGAUAUGGGACCAACAAGCUGAAGUGUGGUAGGAGGACUGUGGAUAUGAUGACAUCACGUGGUGUGUC